CCCUUAGAUGUUCUGGGCCGCACGCGUGCUACACUGAGUGGAUCAGCGGGUCAGGUUGCGCGAAAGUGUUUCCUAAUCUUUAAAUCCGCUCGUGAUGGGGAUUGACGGUUGCAAUUUUCCGUCAUGAACGAGGAAUACCUUGUAAGCGCGGGUCAUCAUCCCGCGCUGAAUACGUCCCUGCCCUUUGUACACGCCACCCGUCGCUCCUACCGAUUGAGUGGUCCGGUGAGGCUUUGGGAUCUGAGCGGAAAGAGCGUUUCGCUGUUUCUGCCCGGAAAACUCAGUCGAACCUUAUCAUUUAGAGGAAGGAGAAGUCGUAACA
rnacentral:rRNA from 1 species